AUUACCCAAUCCUGACACAGGGAGGUAGUGACAAGAAAUACCAAUACGAGGCAUAUACGUCUAGUAAUUGGAAUGAGUGCAACUUAAAAUGCUGCACGAGUAUCAAUUGGAGGGCAAGUCUGGUGCCAGCAGCCGCGGUAAUUCCAGCUCCAAUAGCGUAUAUUAAAGUUGUUGCGGUUAAAAAGCUCGUAGUUGGAUUUCUGUCAGUGAGUGAGGCUCCGCCCACCGUGGUGAGUAGUCCUCAUACCGCUGGCAUCUUCUUGGGGAGCGUAUCUGCACUUCACUGUGUGGUGCGCAAGCCAGGACUUUUACUUUGAGGAAAUGAGAGUGUUUCAAGCAGGCGCACGCCCUGAAUACGUUAGCAUGGAAUAAUAGCAUCGGACCUCGUUCCAAAGCUGUUGGUUUCUUGGGUCGAGGUAAAGGUGAAUAGGGAUUGUUGGGGGCAUUCGUAUUUAACUGUCAGAGGUGAAAUUCUUGGAUUUGUUGAAGACGGACUACUGCGAAAGCAUCUGCCAAAGAUGUUCUCAUUGAUCAAGAACGAAAGUUAGGUGAUCGAAGACGAUCAGAUACCGUCCUAGUCUUAACCAUAAACUAUGCCGACUGGAGAUAGGGGGUCGUUAAAUUUAUGACGCCCUCUGCAUCUUGAGAGAAAUCAAAGUCUUUGGGUUCCGGGGGGAGUAUGGUCGCAAGGCUGAAACUUAAAGGAAUUGACGGAAGGGCAC
rnacentral:rRNA from 1 species